AACCAGCAUAAAGCCGCCGCGGCCACAACAGGAACUUUUCCCCGGGGCCAGAUUAAAGGCUGACAGAAAGAAUGUUCCACAAUGGAGAUGGCCACAGCACAGUGCAUCAGGCAACAGGAAGCAGCGAGGCUGGCACAAAGAAGAGGCUGGAGGACGUCCCACAAAUACUGCCACUGAACUCCUGUGCAGUGACGUCAUGUGACCAGAGAGGUAAAGGGGAGACCGGGUGGGCAGGAAGAGGAAAUGAGCGAGGCUGUCUGAGAAGCCAACAAUAAGAAGCUGCUCCGUGUUUGCUGUUGAAAACAAGGCCUUGAUCCACAAAUACGUUUCUAUCAGCUCCUGCCCAGGCGAGGACACGCACAACUCCAUGUGGCUGUUAGGGGGACCAGUAAGUCAGAGAAAUUUACGCCUUCUGUCACUAGACAUUUAAAGGAUGUGGAUUUGUCCCAGCUGGACUGGGCGGAUGCAGCGCUCUAUACGUCUGUCCCGCUUUGCUGACGUUCAUCAUUGAGGGGAAGCUUUGUGUGAGUGCCUCUAGAAAUUGAAUCCCCAUUGUCUUUUUGGCAAGAACCAACCUUCAGAAAAUCCGCCGCGAGGCAUCAUGAGGUUUGCGUUAUUAUACCACUGAGAUGUUAGUGGUUAGUGCUGGGAAAAUAUGAACUGAUAGCUUUCAUACGGCCAGGAGAUCCCGAGCUGGUCCAUGCGGGGGUCUUCUGUCAGAUCAAUACAGGCACUAUAGUUUUCAUGUAACUCACUCAACAUUUCAUACACGUCCACCUGCUCACUCCUGCAGGUCAGACACAUGCAUGUACCAAACACCAAC
rnacentral:lncRNA from 1 species